UAUUUUAUGCAUUUUGCAGUUAAAAAUUGUCAUAUCUUCACACUGAGAUAUAUCAGGCAGAUUAAUUUUUCCUCUUUUUACUUUACGCUACUGAUUUAAUCCACUUUUAAACAAUUCCUAUUAAUUUCAAACACCACAAGAAAUCUGGAGAGGGUGAUAUGCCUGAUACUGCUGAGUUGCUGCUCCUCCUUAAGAGCUCAAACCCAUAUGGCAUUUGCCUCCUGCUGAUACUUCCACACCAGGAAUCCCUUCAGCAAAGCAACCAAGACUCAAAGAGAAAUACGUAAUAUGUUCUUUGCUCUUUAUGCUCAUAUACCUAAGCCCUGUUCUCUAAAUCAGAGGCCCAGAGAAACCUCUGGUGAAGAUCAGGAAAUCCUACCUACAGUUCAACCUGGAAGCUGAAGAAUUUCCUAUUCUGGCAAAAUGAAUUUUAGGAUGGUGCCCCCGAAAAGAUUUACAAAGCUGCCUCUGUGAGAGAUGGCUGCUUCCAGAUCCCAAAGCCUCUGACUGAGUCAGUAACAGUAAUUGCUGAAUGUGAGACCUCUCAAUUUAAUUCCAGGAGUGUGUAUCACCCAAGGAAAGACCCAGUACUACAGUCAACAUAACCCCAGGAUCAUGAAGCCCUGUGGAUUGUAAAUAUGCAAUUAGCAGCUAGAGUAGAAGUAAAAGCAGAAAAUGUCAACUGUCAAGUAGCUCCAUUGAAAGACACAUGAUGCUUCAAGCUAAGACAGAAAGACAAAAGCACCUACCAACAAGGAUAAAGAAUCCAAGGGAGGGGGCAUUGCCGACUGAGCAUCUGAGUGGAUGUUGAGGUCCCAGCUCUGCUUCUUGACCACUGUGCCAGGGAUUAGCAGGCUGGGCAGUGGAUCUCUCCCUUCUCCAGAGCACCAUCUCCUCCAAUCCUGCUUCCUCUGUGCUACUCAGACAUUUGCACCAUGCUUCUCCUUCUGCCAGGAUGCAGAAAAGCAGG